rnacentral:tRNA from 1 species
AGCUCAGUGGUAAAGCGCAUGCUUAACAUGCACGAGGUCCUGGGUUCAAUCCCCAG